rnacentral:rRNA from 1 species
AGAAUCAACGCUGGCGGCGUGCCUAACACAUGCAAGUCGCACGAGAAAGGGACUUCGGUCCUGAGUAAAGUGGCGCACGGGUGAGUAACACGUGAAUCAUCUACCUCCGAAUGGGGAAUAACUGAGAGAAAUCUUAGCUAAUACCGCAUAAUACCUACGGGUCAAAGCAGCAAUGCGUUUGGAGAGGAGUUCGCGGUCGAUUAGUUAGUUGGCGGGGUAAUGGCCCACCAAGACGAUGAUCGAUAUCCGGCCUGAGAGGGCGCACGGACACACUGGAACUGAAACACGGUCCAGACUCCUACGGAGGCAGCAGUGGGGAAUUUUGCGCAAUGGGGGAAACCCUGACGCAGCAACGCCGCGUGGAGGAUGAAAUAUCUUGGUAAUGUAAACUCCUUUCGAUGGGGAAGAUAAUGACGGUACCCAUAGAAGAAGCCCGGCUAACUUCGUGCCAGCAGCCGC